CGGGCCCAGGCUUAACUUUGCAAGUCGAACGGUAACAGGAGAAGCUUGCUUCUCGCUGACGAGCGGCGGACGGGUGAGUAAUACUUAGGAAUCUACCUAGUAGUGGGGGAUAGCUCGGGGAAACUCGAAUUAAUACCGCAUACGACCUACGGGAGAAAGGGGGCAACUUGUUGCUCUCGCUAUUAGAUGAGCCUAAGUCGGAUUAGCUAGAUGGUGUUUAAAGGCCUACCAUGGCGACGAUCUGUAGCUGGUCUGAGAGGAUGAUCAGCCACACCGGGACUGAGACACGGCCCGGACUCCUACGGGAGGCAGCAGUGGGGAAUAUUGGACAAUGGGGGCAACCCUGAUCCAGCCAUGCCGCGUGUGUGAAGAAGGCCUUUUGGUUGUAAAGCACUUUAAGCAGUGAAGAAGACUCCAUGGUUAAUACCCAUGGACGAUGACAUUAGCUGCAGAAUAAGCACCGGCUAACUCUGUGCCAGCAGCCGCGGUAAUACAGAG
rnacentral:rRNA from 1 species